rnacentral:rRNA from 1 species
GCAGGCUUAACACAUGCAAGUCGAGCGGGCCCUUCGGGGUCAGCGGCGUGACGGGUGAGUAACGCGUGGGAACGUAGCCUUUCUGGUCUGGAAUAAGCCCUGGGAAACUAGAGGCUAAUUACCGGAUACGCCCUUUUGGCGGAAAGGUUUACUGCCGGAAGAUCGGCCCGCGUCUGAUUAGAUAGUUGGUGUGCGCGUAACGGCCUACCAAGGCGACGAUCAGUAGCUGGUCUGAGAGAGAUGAUCAGCCACACUGGGACUGAGACACGGCCCAGACUCUUACGGGAGGCAACAAUGGGGAAUAUUGGACAAUGGGCGCAAGCCUGAUCCAGCCAUGCCGCGUGAGUGAUGAAGGCCUUAGGGUUGUAAAGCUCUUUUAUCCGGGACGAUAAUGACGGUACCGGAGGAAUAAGCCCCGGCUAACUUCGUGCCAGCAGCCGCGGUAAUACGAAGGGGGCUAGCGUUGCUCGGAAUCACUGGGCGUAAAGCGCGCGUAGGCGGCGUUUUAAGUCGGGGGUGAAGCCUGUGGCUCAACCACAGAAUGGCCUUCGAUACUGGGACGCUUGAGUAUGGUAGAGGUUGGUGGAACUGCGAGUGUAGAGGUGAAAUUCGUAGAUAUUCGCAAGAACACCGGUGGCGAAGGCGGCCA